rnacentral:tRNA from 1 species
GCGGGAGCAGCCCGGGACCACGGCUGUGCGCAUAGUCCGCGAGGGCACCGGCGGUGGUGUGCUCGGGUUCGAAUCCCAGGGUCUCGCGC